rnacentral:rRNA from 1 species
CCUACGGGAGGCAGCAGUGGGGAAUUUUGGACAAUGGGCGCAAGCCUGAUCCAGCAAUGCCGCGUGAGUGAAGAAGGCCUUCGGGUUGUAAAGCUCUUUUGUCAGGGAAGAAACGGCUGAGGCUAAUAUCCUCGGCUAAUGACGGUACCUGAAGAAUAAGCACCGGCUAACUACGUGCCAGCAGCCGCGGUAAUACGUAGGGUGCAAGCGUUAAUCGGAAUUACUGGGCGUAAAGCGUGCGCAGGCGGUUUUGUAAGUCUGUCGUGAAAGCCCCGGGCUUAACCUGGGAAUUGCGAUGGAGACUGCAAGGCUUGAAUCUGGCAGAGGGGGGUAGAAUUCCACGUGUAGCAGUGAAAUGCGUAGAGAUGUGGAGGAACACCGAUGGCGAAGGCAGCCCCCUGGGUCAAGAUUGACGCUCAUGCACGAAAGCGUGGGGAGCAAACAGGAUUAGAUACCCUGGUAGUCCACGCCCUAAACGAUGUCUACUAGUUGUCGGGUCUUAAUUGACUUGGUAACGCAGCUAACGCGUGAAGUAGACCGCCUGGGGAGUACGGUCGCAAGAUUAAAACUCAAAUGAAAUGACGG